rnacentral:rRNA from 1 species
GACGAACGCUGGCGGCGUGCUUAACACAUGCCAGUCGAACGGAAAGGCCCUGCUUGCAGGGUGCUCGAGUGGCGAACGGGUGAGUAACACGUGGGUGAUCUGCCCCUUACUUUGGGAUAAGCCUGGGAAACUGGGUCUAAUACUGGAUAGGACCAUGCUGUAGGUGGUGUGGUGGAAAGAUUAGUUUCGGUAAGGGAUGAGCUCGCGGCCUAUCAGCUUGUUGGUGGGGUAAUGGCCUACCAAGGCGUCGACGGGUAGCCGGCCUGAGAGGGUGGACGGCCACAUUGGGACUGAGAUACGGCCCAGACUCCUACGGGAGGCAGCAGUGGGGAAUAUUGCACAAUGAGCGCAAGCCUGAUGCAGCGACGCCGCGUGGGGGAUGACGGCCUUCGGGUUGUAAACUCCUUUCAGCCAUGACGAAGCCCUUGUGGUGACGGUAGUGGUAGAAGAAGCACCGGCUAACUACGUG